rnacentral:lncRNA from 1 species
GAAAAACAGAAUUUGGAGAGUGAUGGAUUGGGUGUGUGGGAUGAGAGAGAAGGGGAGUAAAACACGGCCUCCAGGUUUUAGGCUUGACUGUGGGGCUGUAAGGCCAUAUCCUGAGUUGUCCUCUGAGGAGUAAGACCACUGACUUUGGUGAAACACGCUUGCUGAGGCUGGAUGGACCAAGUGAUUCAGCGCCGUGAAAUGGAAAAGGAUUGAAAUGGUAAACAGGAGCGCUCAGGGUUCCACCCCCAAGUUCCUUUGUGACUAUGGGCAUCCACUGGGGGUCUUGGAACAGAUCCCGUGUGGAUAAGCGGGGACAACUGUAAUGGUAAUAAAGAACAUUCCCACCGGAAGAAAUAUUAUAUAUGGACUAUGAAGAGAGCUGGAGAAAUUGAAAAAAGAUCAGUGCAGUCAAAGCAUAGAAAGUCAAAGGAAGACAGAGACAGAACAGGCUGGCACGGUGAGCAGAGAUCCGAGUUCAACUAACUGGUGAGUAGCAAAGUUGAGAUUGCAAUCUGGACCUGCCUCAUUAUAGUGUUUAACUAGUAUCUCACUAAUGCCACUUAAAAAAGUAAAUUAUAGUUUAGUACUUACGAUAUGCCAUGAGAUACUUUACAACGCAUUUGCGUGUGUCUCUCACAACAACACUACGAGGUAGGCACACAGAAGUUCCCAUUUUACAGACAAAACGAAUGAGGCACAGAGAGGCAAAAUGACAUGCCCAAAGCUACACAGUAAAGAAGUAGCAGAGGCCGAAUUGAAACCAAGGCAGUUUGGCUGCAGAGUCCACACUCUUCACCACUUACUACUCCAUUUCCUAGUCCACACAGUUAGUUGGUGGCAGAACCAGUAUCCCAAUCGGGUCUGGGUCAAGUCAAAGCUCCUCACCACUCUUCUGCAUGACUAUUCCUGCUCCCUGGAUUGGAAAUCAGCUUGGCAAGGGCUGGCUGUGAAAUUGCAUCAUCUACUGUGCAACACCUUCAAUAUCUCUGAAGACUGCGCACCUCCAGAAAGCCCUGGGUGAGGAUGGCUGAGGGAUCCCAGGCUGCUUCCUGGGUCUCAGCUGACAUGUGAGGGACACCUGUGAAGCAAGGAGGAAUAUGCUGUUGAGGAAAAUCAAAGCUGAACCUUCCUUUCCUCAUUCCAGAUAAAUUAUAUUAAUUUACAGCCUAUUACCUAAUGGGGUUGCGGUUUAACUUCCUUCUCUCAAGCCUUUUAUGGAAAAGCAGUAAAGACGAGGACAGCCCACACAGGGCACACUUGACUGUUUCAGGAGAAAUUCCCAGCGCCACACCCUUGCUUUCUUUGGUUUAUUGAGUUUAAAUUUGUAGCAGCCAUGUGUAUUGAUGCAAUUUGCAAAAGUUGCUCAAGAUAAAGCAUUUGCUAGAGAAUAUAAGGGACUGGAAACAAUGAUAGUCUUCAAAAACAUGUUACUCAUGUGAUUAUCUCCUAUUAAAAUGAGUAAGAGGAGGAAAAAACUGGUUUCGAUUGUGCACUACAUUUAAUUUCUGAAGAAAGGAAUAUCUAAGCAAUUACAUCGAUGAUGUUCCACUCACCCCAGAGCAGUGGGCAAUCGCCUCAGGGAAAAAUGUAGAGUCGUGCUGUUUUGAAAACAGUUUUUACAGCAUAACUGCUGGGCCUACAGAAACACAGUUGUGCCAACACCUCCCUUUCCUCCUCUCCUGAGCCAUCUUUCCCAUCAUGAUUUCUAAAGGCAUUUGCUUACAAAUAUAUAUCCUCAAUUUUCCAUAGUGAAAAUGUUUUUCUAGAGCAGUUGGGAUCAGGUUCAACCGACAGUGAUCGAAAGUCAAAAUAAACGUGGUUUAAACUUGAUGAAAAUUUGUAUAACCUCUCACGUGAAUGUAGCUAUCCACGACUGGAGUGAUGAUCCACCAUGAUCAGGGCAUCCAGUGCUUUCUAGCUUGAUGUUCCAGUAUUCCCAGCACACAACAGGAUCGGCCACGAGCCAUCACAUCUGUAUUCCAGGCAGCAGGAAAAAGGAGGCAGGAUAAGGCCACAUUAUCUCCUUUAGUGACACUUCCGAGAUACUGUCCACACCACUGCUAUUUACAGCCCCCAGUUCUUUCACUCAGGAGGACAGGGAGAAUCGACGUUGGAAGACAAUUAGGUCUCCCCUUCAGCCACCCAAGCAUCUCUGUGUACCCUUGUGUUUCCAUGUUUAAAACACACUCAAUGCCCCCACCAGCCCCCGCCCGGAGAAAGAAUCCCAAAGUUCCAUCAGAUUCAUGCAUCUGAGUCUAAGCCCAGGAUUUUUAGAUCACGCUUAGUGCGCUUCAUCAGAAUGGAUGUGGCUACUCAUGUUCUGGGGGCCUGUAAAAAAUCUAAGUUAUCUGAUAUAACAGAUUGAAUAGUACAAUAAGAGCAGGAUAAACAUCAAACAAACAUUUCUCCCAUUCAUAAAAAAAAAAAGGAUAAAAGUCACACAAUGGUUACUUAUCCCUAAAAAUUUCAGCUUCCACAGGGAGAAAGAGAAAAAAAAAUGUCCGGCCUUCUGGUAGACCCCCAUUUGCUUCCAAGGAAGGAUUCCCUUGUCCACUGUCAUGUGCGGACGCUGGCUCUCCUCCUUGGGAAAUAUUUUCUUGUCCAUAACACUCAAAAGCGUAUGCCCUUUUUGAAGACUUAACAGUUUUCACAGCCUUCCUGUUGGUGCUGGCCUGGGGACGUGGAAUCACUUAGGGACUGAAUGGUCAAAAGCUUUUGUAGGCCGGGUUGUGACCUCUUUGUCAGUACAAAAUUUAGUGGGCUCGGGUAUGUGAAGUCAAUCCAUUCUGCUUGUAAGCUGCCACAAAGAUCUUGUCUGAACACAGUUUUAUGCCUGAUAUCUUCAUUUUCUUUUACUUCAUAAUCUCUACGCUCCACAAAUACUCUCUCUCAAGCUAGGCUUCUUUAGUAAGCCACUUCACAAGGGAGGUCCAAGGUGACUCCUCCAGCUUAAGCCAUCACGUUUGGAUUCUAGCCAGCAGGAAGGAGGAAAGAGGCAGAGGAAGAGCUGGCCGCUACCCUUUAAAACACCCCUGGGGGCUGUACACGUGCCUUCUGUUUAUAUCCACUGACCAAAGCUGAGUUACCUGGCCACAUCUAGCUGCAAGAGGGAAUGUAGUUUUUCUUCUAGGUGGCCAUGACACCACUAGCAUUCAGGGCUUUGUUAUUGAGGAAGAAGGGAAACAUGAACAUUCAGGAAUACCUAGCAAUCUUACCAUACUUAUAGGUAUAUAUUUUUUGUGAGUUUAGGGAAAUGGACAAUUACUGUAGAGAUUAUAAUGUGUAUAACAACAAGGGAAGAACGAGCAGUGUUCAGGGGACAUUCUGAAAGAGAUGCUGCUUACCUCAGCUGCCUACUCUAGACCUAGAAUUGUAACAGUAGUGGUCGAUUGUGGUUCUUCAGCCAACACACGACGAGGCCUGUCAAGUGCUAGGGACUGGGUAUUAGACUAAUAAGCGAAACAUGGGUCUUGACGUGCAUCUGUCUAAUUUACACUGAGGAAGUUUCUGAAAGCUGGAAUUUUAUGCAAACUGCUAAAAGAUCAGUUGAGAAUGGCUAAACUCACCCAAUUGAUACAUGCAGUUUUUCAAAUAACUGGACUUGGCACUCUACACAUUAAUCGAGAAAUGAUAUACAGUGUGUUCUCAUGAAAUUUCUAAUUCGUCUUUGCUGGGGAAUUGGGAAACCUUCAGUAAGGUGGAACUGAAGGAAGUGCCUUAUUGCAGCUCUUGCUUGGAUCCUGUUCUUUCAUUUCCCUCUUUGAUUUCACAUCUAUGGUUAUAGAUGAUUUCCUUGUAUACAGUGAUUUCCUUGUAUCAAGGCUCGCAGUUGGAGUUCCGUGGGAGAUUCUCAAUCUUGCUUCCUGCAAGAGCUAAAUAUUCAUGCUUUAACAACAGUUUGCAUCAACCACAGUUCUCAGGUCUGCGUCCUCCAGCGAGGACACCUGACAGUCUGAGGGUUACAUUGGUUAACCCUGGAAGAGGUCUUCUCUCUGUGCAUGUUCUCUGGUACCUCUCUGACAAAUGCUUUUGACCAACUUCCUCAUGGCUCCGAGGGUCACAGAGUCUAGGGCUCUUCCUCUCCUAUGGCGCUGAAUGUUCCGUCUGUGGCAGGAGCUUGAGUAGGAGUGGAGUGGGCAGCGAGGGGGCCUCAUUUCCUCCACUUGGGCCAUAUGUCAUAAGACUUGAGACAUGACCUCAAUGGACUAUGGACUGGUUUUAUCAUGGUGGAAACGUACCUUGAUCCCCAAAUGGAACUUCUACAUCCUCUCAAGUACAAACUCCUCUGAAAAUCAAAUUACGAAGAGAUAGAAGCAUGGACUUCACUUGUUUUUCUGCAGCAGUUUAGCUCAUUUUAAGGACUCGAGGUUUAUUUCCAUUUAUUUGCCUUUGAGCACAUGAGAAAUGCUUAUUCUCCAAAAAUCCAGUUUUGGGCUUUUAAGUCACUUUCUGGAAUAGAGAUGAUUUUCUGCACCAAGGGUAAAAGUGUGUGAAGAAUUCUUCAAACAGGGCUCUGGUCAGCUAGAAUAAAGAUGUCUGUACAUCAUCAUCAUAAAGCAAGGGCAGGCCAUCAUAUGGUCCCAGCUUGGGAACCUCAGUCAUGCAGCAGGUGAGGAAAGACACAAGGAGCGAUGCCACUCCUUCAUUCCAGAUGCAAGUCAGACUCUCUUGUUUACUGGGUGUUACUCACAAAUUCUGAAACACAUCAAUAAGCUUUCUCACGCAAGCACCUGUGCAUUUAUCAGUAUUGCUUGUGAGAUUUUUUACUAUUCUUUUCUAGCCUAGUAUCACUUUCUCAGUACUAUCAGCUACCUGAAAACCUCUUUCUAUUCUUUGAGGGUGAAAGGUUUUAUUUUGAGAUAAAUGGAGAUAAUGUUACUCAAUCUUUGUUCCACUUAAGAAAUACUGGGUUAAUGAAUUAGGAACAUACUUGGAAAAUAACUUGAAUUCAUUCAAGACAGAAUUUGUAUAAUAAAGCCUUUAGAAGUUUACCAGUUGUUCUUUUCUAAUUUUAUCUCCAUUUCGAAUAUUUUAGGGAAAAUAUACUUACACAUGAAGCCCUACUUUUAAGGACAGACUCUAUUUUUAUUAUUAAAUGUUCAAUAUCAAGAAAUUCUCAUUAACUGGAAGAUAUUUUAAGAUUACAUUCAAAUUCGUUCUAUUAUUAAUUGGAAAAAACCUACAGAGUGAGAAACUUCUUUUCUCUCUACUUGCAACCAAGGAAUGAGUUCUAUUCCCAUGGAAUCAAACAAGGAUUCUUUAGCUCUCAUUUAGUGUGAAAUUAAGAAAAAAUUCAGUUAUCUCAAGGAUAGAAUACAUUUCACAAAGUCUGUCGCGCCAUUAUUUUUAUGAAAUCCUGUUUUCAAGAAAAACAACAUAGGGAAACAAUCUUUUAAAAGUCUGCUUGGAAAGCCAGUAUUAAGGAUAACUCUGUUAUGAUACAUGCUUGGUUUUCUAGAGAAAGCACAACAUCUGCAACAAAAGUCUGUAUUAUAACAAUGUUAUAAAGCUGUCUUGUCCAAUGUGGUAACCACUAGCCACAUGUGGUGAAUUAAAGCUUAAAUUAAGUAAAAUUAAACAUUUCAUCCACCAGUCUUAAUUGCCACCUUUCAAAUGCUCAGUUAUCUCUUAUGGCUACUGACUACCACAUGGCAGAGCACAAAUAACAGUUCAAGCCCUGCAGAAAGUUCUAUUGGACAGCUCUGUUCUACUGUCUACUCUAUUCUAGAUUAUGUGUCAGAAGAAUGGCUCAACAGACAGAGAAGCAGACUAAGACAUUGAGAGGGAGAACGCAAGAAGGAAAUAGAAUGGGAGAGGCUUUGAAACAAACAAAACAUGUGAGUUGGUGUCACAUAUUAGCCAUCUACGGGAAGAAAAUCCAUAGCAGUACUUCUUCUUUUUAUGGUACUUUAAAACACUUUUUGUAUUUCUCUUUGGUGUAUGAAAGAGGCUAGGAAGUCAUGAACUAGGUGCAUUUAUCUCCUUUGGAAAAACAGAGAAGCGUAUAUUUCCCCCAAAUUAUCGUCAUUACAAAACAUUCCUGAACAUCACUGUGUGCGAAUCAUUGUGUCACUAAAAUUAGCAGCAGAUUCCGUUGAGAAUAGGAAGGAAACAUGGGCAGGACAGACAUUCUAAGGAAACAGAGAAAGCUGAAAUCCCGACUCAUAGUUUCCGACAGUUGCACUGUACGCUAUUUUAGAACCAUCCACCUUUUAGUGAAGUCCAACCCCCUAUUCUACAAAUGAGAUAAUUGAGACCCAGAGACAAAGAAGUGACUUGCCCGAGGACACUUACGAUGUCACUGGAACAAGACUAUGGCAAGGUCUCCUUUUUAAUGUUAUCUUACAUUACUACUACCCACUUACCUUAUAUGCUAGCCAAACGGAUACUCCAAAACUCCCUUUAAAACAACCAAUAUGAUAAAAUAAUUGCUUUUUAAAACAGGUAAAAUAUCAUGGUUCAGGUAAACACUACAAUUGUGCAAGUGACUAUUUGCCAAAUAUCUCUUCCUGGUUUGUUUCUUCAUGAAACUAUUUAGGGUCUGGUCACUUGCUCCGUUGUUCUCUGGCCCAUCCUCAAAAGCUAAAAUGACUCCCUCAUCUCUGGCUCUGUCAGAAGUUGGAUGGGCACUAGUGAAGUCCCUACCUCUGAGUACGACCUUCCUGACCAGGGCGACCUUGUAGAAUGGGUUACUUCCAGCACCUCAAGUGAAUUUCGGGUGGGAUUCCAGCUGCUUCUGGUUUGCUUUAGAGCCCAAGGCCACAGUCCUCUAGGAGAACCUGAGGUGGACCCUGGUCUUGGCCUUGGGGAUCAGCAGAGCAGUGGUUAAGAGCAGAGACCGUGUGUCAGAAGGGCUUGCCUUCCAAUCCAAGCUUUCCCCUUAUGUAUGGUCAAACCACUGGGUGACUUCAGCCUCAGUUUCCUUACUUACAAAGCUGACACAACAAGACCCAUUUCCCUGUGGUUUUGAAAGGAUUAAAUUGGUUACAGUCUAUGAACAGCAUAGUAUAUUAGUGUCAGAAACAUGAGACUCACUCCACGAAAGGUGAUGCUGUCAUUGACCCAAGAACCCCAGGAAGUGGCAGAAAGACACCUCGGGUGUUCUUGCUUCCAAUCAGCCACUCUGGAAUUGGUCUUCAGAUCACAGUUUCUCUGCCACCAGCUGAGGGAGCAUUUCCAGUUUUAGCUCUCAAAUUUUGCUAUUUUAAUAUAUGCAUCAGACCACAAGGUGGUGCUUUCUUCUAAAGUUUGCUAUUAGGAGGCUUCUCCAGCCACAAAAAGUGAAUAGCAAAGUGCGUUCAACACUCCUAUCAAGGGCCAACUUCCUAACCCUAAUACAAAUAUCAGGUGGGCUCCAGCCCUCUGUGACUGAACAGCAAGGAGCACAGGCCGUAUAUGGAGCAUCCGGUCCUCCUUGCUCUUCCGCUCUCUAGCUGGGAAGCAAGUGGGAAGAGCCCCAACAAAGCGGAAGCCUUUAUUUGGUUUCUUUUUCUAUGGCAUUAGGUAAACUCCUGUCAAACACACACAGUGUGGUUUCCCCCAGUUUCUGGGUUACUCAGUCUGCAAGUGAGCAAUGGUUCACAGAAUGCAGUGAUGAGGCAAAGAAGGAGGGUGUCCUUGUGACAACUGCCAUGAGGUGGCGAAAAGUUCACUUCCCCCUUGUGGCAUAGUGACUGAAGCCUCUGGCCGUGAGUACAGUUCACGGGGUUCUGAGUGUAAAGCAAAUGCCCACCCCUCUUAAUUUUCAUGUUGCCAACAUGCGUGCCUGCUGGGUUAACCACCUUAGAUGUGUAGAGCAGCUUGGAUUGUCUAAAGGACUUUGCAACCAAUUUGCUGCCAUUACUGAGAGGCAAGGUAGGCUCACCAGUCCUGAGUCCUAGUCCUGCCUCAGUCACUCCCUGCUGUGAGACUAUGGGCAAUUCCACAAAUUUUGUCACCUAUGAAAUGGUGGGGAAAGAAGGCAUGUGGACCAGAUUUCCCAAGGUCUCUUUAACACCAGCAUUCUGUAAGUACAGUCUCAUUUGUCCCCCAUUUUUCUAGAAGAAGUUCUGUGUCAGCUAAGGUUUGGGUUAUUCUAGAGGCUAGGAGGGUUUUAGGGGGAAUACCAGAUAAAGCCAAGAAAAGAUAGUAAGAGGUCAAAGGCAGAAAGAAGACAGAGCUGGGAAGGGCUAGGCUUGGAGACCAAGAGGGUACUGAGAAGAAGGGAGGAGCUGGAGAGAGCAGAACGUGGAUCCUGUAAAUCUGGGCUGAGACAUGAAGGCAAAGCGAGAGGUGCUUUGUGGGGAAUGGCCUCUGUAAAGGGAGAAAAAAAGGAAAAAAUAGGUAAAGGGUUUUCCUUGGAUCCAGCCAAAGGAUUAACUCUAAGACUUUUCUGGCUGAUCCUCUGAUAACAGCCUUCUGAAGGCUGGGGUAGACUUCCCUGCACCAAGUUCUUUGACCUCUUAAUCCUUCUGAAAGUGACCUGCCCUCUCUACUAAUGAGAAGAGACAAAAAUAAAAGAAAGUUUGCCGGCAGUCAUUCCAAGAACAUUCUGUUGAUUUUCUCAACACUUUCAAGGCCCCAUCCAACAACCUUUCAUUAGUAAAUAACUCAAAGGCCAAUACGUGAGUCACGACAGCUAUAGUCGAUAAACUACACCAUUAAUUCAUACCUCACAGUAUUUUCCUUUAGUCUGUUACCAUUUUGAGUGAAAGAAUCAAUCAGGAUCAAUGUCAUUUUAAUAGAUUCAAUUUCAUUUUAAUUAAGAAAUUCACAAAUUUUUCUUCUAAGAAUGAAAACACUAACACUUGGCGGAAGGCGGAGGGGCUGAAAGAUGAGUUUGACAGCACCAGGCUGCUUGACUCACAUUAAGUACAAGACAAGAUCGCCACAUUCCACAGGUCACUGACUUCGAAGGGGCGCAGCCUUCGUCCUUUGGAAACGAUCUGACUCCGCUUCUUCGAAUUUGAUGAGCAUUCUGGUCAGUUUACUUGGGAAUCACAUGACCCUUAUUUAUUUGAUACUGGACAUUUUAUUGUCUGGUGAAAAAAAAUGAAAGUUACUAAAAAUAUGAACAGACUUCCCAUAUGGUCAUCUAGUCACAUAUAUGUAUUAGUGGAGACUGGUCGUAUUAGCAGAAGUUAUAUACAUAUACAUAAAUUAAACGUUACCUUUUAAGAGAUUAUAUAAAAAUGUGGAGAACUGCUAUCUCUUAGGGGAAAAUGUCAAUGCUUUACCCUUUCUUUUAUUUAAUCCAAAUAUAAUGAGUGCUUAAUGUUUCUAAGUCUGUGGAUUUUUUGAAAAACUUGUUUUAAUCCAAGUUCAUCACUGAAUACAUCAGACUUUUAUAAGAGAGAAAUUCUUGCCAAAAAGGAGUUGCCAUUGCUGUGUAUCUUGAGUGGUUUCUCUGUGUAAAACUAAAGGAAUAAAUCAGACAAGAAUGUUAUUCCAAGAAAACAAGGUCACAGUUACAGUGUCUUUAAAUUUCACCCAUUCCCCUUCUGUUUAAUAAAAUAAAUUUAUAGCUUUAAGGUACAACUCUGCAGCUAACCAUGCAUUUUCUUUCACAAUGGUUGUCCAACAAGCGACUGAAAGAUUUUUAUUUUGCUUCUGUUUGGAGCAUGACCCUGAAAGAAUCUAGAAGUAAAAUUAUACUUUAGUUCUAGUCAAAGAAAAAAAUAAUUUUUAAGAGUCAAACUGGAGCAGCAAAUGUGUAUGGGAGCAGCG